CUGAGUCCCUGCUGGGGGACAUAGAAGAGGAGCAUCCUGCUUACACUUUCCGUGCCACUGCCCCACCAGUUACCAUCUGUGGGAGUCUCUCCUUCCCCCAGCAGCCUCCACUGCUACUGGUCGGAAUUAACCCAAUUCAGUGUAACAUUGCAUGAAAAUACACUUUUACAACUUUGAGAGGUUGAAAGUAAGUCAUCAGCUGAUUUGUCUACCAAUGGUGACUUGGUUCACGCAAGCCAAAGAAGUUGUGACAGUGAGAUGGAGCAAGACAUGACAGAUCAAGAAGUAGAGAAUGAAGAUGCUGAUUCAGAUGAGAAAGACAACAGUAAUCUUCCAGGUGUUGGUGAUUCAGAGACAGGGGACAGCAGGCAGAUGGGACAGAGAAGGAGGAGGCUUCAAGGGUCACCAGACUCGUGUGUGGGGGUGCUGGCAGCCUCCAUCGGGACCAUCGAGGCAGCUGGCUUAUAGCUGGCCACU